UUUAUCUUUAUCUUUCUCUCUUCCUUCACCAAACCUUUAUCACCACGACUUUCUCUGCACUCCCCAUCUCUCCGGCACUACCACUGCAAUCACCAACACAAAAACGAACUUCUCUUCCAUCCAAAAACCUAAUAAAUCUUUUAUACAGUGGAAUCGGUAGUUGGGUAAUAUCAACAAACGACUGAAUCGAACAAUUAGGGUUUUGAUUUUUUUCGGUCGGCGAAGAACAUGAAUCUGUUGAUGGGUUUUACGCAAGAGAUGAUUUGGAGAAGCGAUGUGGAUGUUUAAUGGGUAAAAUUUCGGAACGAAAUUUGCAAAUCUCCGGAUGAUGUUGUUGAGAAGACAAGGCAUGGAUGAACUCAAGGGAAGUUUAAAUGAGAUUUGGUUAGAGUUUCGAUCCAUGGAGUUUUUGGCAGAGAUCUUGAAAACGAGAAAAAGAAUGGAUUUGGUUCUGUUGUAGUCAGUGAAGAUUUAAUUCGAAAAAUAGGGGUUUUGUUUGAUUCAGAAAUUAGGCUUUCCAUUUAGUGAAAAUGGGGGUUUGUUUGAUUCAGAAAUUAAGGUUUCCAUUUAGUCAAAUUGUGGGUUUGAUUUAAUCGGUAAAUUGAGAUUUUGUUGGGUUCAGUAAUUCCGGUUUUGUUUGAUUCGGAAAAUUAGCGUUUUGUGAGAGAAAGAAAUGAUGUUGGGUUUAGAGAAAACAGAUGUAUAAGAAACCUGACCACUUCCAUUGGAGUUUUGAAAUUAAUUUUGUAAGGUGGGAUUGAUUGAGUUUGGAAUCGGCAGUCAAGGAUCAGAAGUAGUUGUAUUUAAUGAAGUUUCAGGGGUAAAAACGGAUUUGGGUGAAUCUGUAAAGCUGUCGUUUCCCUUGAUAUUGAAAUCAAGGGAUUUGGAAGAUCAAGUUACUGCUAUGGUUUUGUAGUUAGUUAAUAAAUUACAACGAAGAAACUUAGAAGUUUCUGCAAUUGAAGAGAGUGGGUGUUACUGGAAUUGAUCAGUGAUGGUAGAGCUGCAAUUGAAGCGAAUGACUGUUGCAGAAGAAGAACAUCGAGUUGGGGAUGAAGACGGAGGUUUAAUUGGUCAUCCUAGCCGUAGACUUUUAUUUUUUGAACCGCUGGAUCUUAGUCCCGCUACAGGGAUAGACUUGUAAACUCUGUAUUUUUACUGUUUUUUAUUUUACAAAAUUAAUUAAAAUCAGGUCAUAGACAGUCAAUUUGAGUCAACGUUGGGUCCAGGUACCAAGCCCUAACGUUGGACAAAUGUUAGACCAAAAUUUAGAGUCGGACAAAACUUGAGUAUCAAAAGCCAAUUAUCCCAUUUUUAAUAUCAAAAUUUUAAAAUCAUUAGGGUUGGAAGCCAGCCCAGCAAAA